AACGAACGCUGGCGGCGUGCCUAACACAUGCAAGUCGAGCGCGAAAAGGGUAACCUGAGUAGAGCGGCGCACGGGUGCGUAACACGUGGGAACCUUCCCAUUGGUACGGAAUAGCCCGGGGAAACUUGGAGUAAUACAGUAUAAGCCCGAAAGGGGAAAGAUUUAUCGCCGAUGGAUGGGCCCGCGUAGGAUUAGCUAGUUGGUGAGGUAAUGGCUCACCAAGGCGACGAUCCUUAGCUGGUCUGAGAGGACGAUCAGCCACACUGGGACUGAGACACGGCCCAGACUCCUACGGGAGGCAGCAGUGGGGAAUAUUGGACAAUGGGCGCAAGCCUGAUCCAGCCAUGCCGCGUGAGUGACGAAGGCCUUAGGGUUGUAAAGCUCUUUUGGCGGGGACGAUAAUGACGGUACCCGCAGAAUAAGCCCCGGCUAACUUCGUGCCAGCCGCCGCCGUAA
rnacentral:rRNA from 1 species